UACGGGGGGAGCAAGCGUUGUUCGGAUUUACUGGGCGUGAAGGGCGCGUAGGCGGCCACUGCAAGUCAGUUGUGAAAUCUCCGGGCUUAACCCGGAAAGGUCAACUGAUACUGCAGGGCUAGAGUGCAGAAGGGGCAACUGGAAUUCUCGGUGUAGCGGUGAAAUGCGUAGAUAUCGAGAGGAACACCUGCGGCGAAGGCGGUUAGCUGGCCUGUAACUGACACUGAGGCGCGAAGGCUAGGGGAGCGAACAGG
rnacentral:rRNA from 1 species